AACACAAUAAAACUAGAGUCAGCAAGCUAGGUUGGCAAGGAUUUUGACAGCCUGUGCAAGUGUUAAGUAACACUUGCACUGUAUGGGCGGUCUGUCUGACUCUGUUACUCAGUUCGAGUAUAUCUUAUACCUUUAAACGAGCAAUUCUUGUAUAUAUAUAUAUUUCUAUGAUCUCGGAAACGGCUCUAACGAUUUCGCUGAAAUUUGGUAUAUGGGGGUUUUUGGGGGUAUACAAUCUAUCUAGAUUAGUCUUAUGUUUGGGAAAACGCGUGUUUUCGAGUUUUCAUGCGUUUUUCUUUCGACGCAGAAUAUGGUCGCUAAUUUCGUGUUGCCGGCCACUGUCCGUCUGGUCCAGCGGGUUAAGACGCGGAUUGCUAAACGAGUGUUACGGGUUCGAAUCUCGCCCGGUGACUAACUUUUGUUUUUUUUUUUAUAUGUUCAAGUUUAUAUAUAAUUUUUUAAUUUUUAUUGUUUUAGACAAGUUUAAUUUGGUAAAAAAAUGUAGUUAAGAUUAUCACCUAUACACCACCAUAUUACAAUAAAUAGUUAUAACCGAGCAAAGCUCGGUCGCCCAGGUACUGUUAUGUAAUAUGCAUAUGUACAUCGAGUCUUGGCGUAGGUUUAGGUAAUCGGGAACAGCUAAAUGUACUAGUACUAGGAGUAAUAUACUUAGUUAGUCUUUCAGCAUUAGAAAGAAGGUAAGCUCACGGUAAGCUAUCUUGACGUAUAUUUUUAUUGAUAAAACACUUUUGAAGAAUAAUACACAGCAAAUAUAUAACGAUGGAGUUUUAAUACAUUCAUUAAACAGUUUUUUAUAAACUUUGACAUGACAAUUUGAAGUGUUUAUGUCGGGUUGUCAAGACCAACAAUAUUAGCCAAACUGAUUAGGAGUACAAGCCAAAAGUAUUUGGGGUUGCUGUUGAGCAUUUUGGACCAUUCCGGAUCUAGAGCAGAGCCCAACUGGGGAAGUACCUCCACCUUACAGAAAAUCGCAGCCAAAUAACACUGUACCCUACUCGUAGUGUUGUGUUCCUGCCGGUGAGUGAGGUUGCCAGAGCUCAACGAGGGGUGGGAGGGCGUUAGGGUCGGCAACGCGCAUGUAACUCCUCUGGAGUUGCAGGCGUACAUAGGCUACGGAUACUGCUUACCAUCAGGCGGGCCGUAUGCUUGUUUGCCACCGACUUAGUAUAAAAAAAAAGCAUCCUCCCAGCAAGUCUCUUUCGAAUUUUCCCAUAAAUACUAUCUUUUCUACUAAACGAGAGGCCAAAAAAUUUUGUACUUACGAUUUUACCCUCAAAUAAACGGAAUAUUAGACAUAUAUAAUAAAUGGACCGGCGACGUGCCGUAUCAUAACUUUUAAUAGAGGAAUAUUUUAUGAGGAAAAAAUACAAUCUACUGCUUGUUAAUUAUGCUAUAUAGUUUGUACACUUUACGUACAGUAUUAUUAACACAUGAAUAUUUGUAAAAAUAUGAUUUUAUUAACAAACCGGGCCGAUGAGAACAUUCUUUGGCGGUAACAUAUUGACAUGCAUUUUCAUAGAUGAACAACAGCAAAGUAUUAUAUUUUUAUAUGUCUAAGAUUAUGUAUCAUUUCUGUAUAAAAUUCGUGUGCAUUUCGUACCGCGAUUCCACGAUAUAACCAAAGUGAGUUUCUACUUAGAGUGGGCAUAUUUUGCGAGCUUUCUAGCUGCUGUUAGGUAAUUAAACUAGACAGUUUAUUUGAGGGUAAAAUCGUGAGUACAAAAUAUUCUGGCCUCUCGUUUAGAAAAUAUAGUAUUUAUCUAUGGUAUUUAUGGGAAAACUCGAGAGGGGGUUGCUGGGAGGAUGCUGAACAGCAACCCCAAAUACUUUUGGCUUGUACUCCUAAUCAGUUGAGGUACAAUGUUUUUAAGUAAGUACUAACUGAGUAACCUAUUGUCUACUAAAUCCUCAUAUAUAAUAAUACAAAAUGCAAAAAUGUAAUGCGGGGUUGCUGGAGACCAUGACGUGCGGUACGAACCAACCAAGCUGUAGCUCAAAACAGUCGCCAACAGCAAGUAAACACACGUCGCCAUCUUUAAAAAUGGCUGCCAACUGUCAAUGACUCGCGGGGAAAUUAUGUUCUAUUAUUAAAAGUGCUAUGUGACUUAA